AUGCUCACUUUGGCAGCACACAUACUAAAAUUAGAAAGAUACAGAGAAGAUUAUGGCUCCUGUGCAAGGAUGACAUUCGAAACUCUAGAUGUAGAUGAUUUUACU